AAGCUGAGCCACUAGAACAGAAAGCUAAAGGAGCUCUUGAGAGACAAAAGAGUACUCAUGAAGCUGAGGCUGAGAAAUCUCGCAAGGAUCUACUUGAACUUCAAGCUAACAGUGCUGCUGUUGAAUCCACCGGACAGGCUAAGGCAGAGGCUCAGUCUCGGGCUGAGGCAGCCAAAUUGAAGGAGAAGCAGCUGUAGAACAAGCCAGGUAUAAAGCACAAGCAUCUAGAAUUGAAGCCGAAUCAGAACUUGAGAGGCUGACGAGGGCAAGAGAGGCCGAGUUAAAGUACAUCAAGGAACAGAACGAGUUGGAGAUUGAGAAAUCUCGUGAGCUCUCAGACAUAGAGACUGUUAAAUUUAAGAGUAUGGUGGACUCCAUUGGAGCUGACACUAUAGCAGCAAUUCUUACUGCUGGACCAGAGAUGCAGGUGAAAAUCUACAAGCCCUUGGUGUGAAAUCCACACUGAUUACUAAUGGCAGUAAUCCUAUCAACCUUUUCAAUAUGGCUCACGGUUUAGUUGAGGCCAUCCAGAGCACCCCUAGCAACAUUGAGGAGGUGACAGAAGAUUGAUAAGAAACUAAAGAAAGACUUUAUUAUUAUAACUUUUUAUUGUUAUUAUUAUUAUUAGUUUGCUCUCCUUAUAUUGAACUAUUAUUAUUGCAAUUUUGUAGGCAAUUGUUUUAGCCCAUUUUGUAGUGAAAAAGAGAUUUGUUA